GUGGCCUACGGGAGGCAGCAGUGAGGAAUAUUGGUCAAUGGGCGGGAGCCUGAACCAGCCAAGUCGCGUGAGGGAAGACGGUCCUAUGGAUUGUAAACCUCUUUAGGCGGGGAGCAAUGCUGGGCACGCGUGCCCGGAGGGAGAGUACCCGCAGAAUAAGCAGCGGCUAACUCCGUGCCAGCAGCCGCGGUAAUACGGAGGAUGCGAGCGUUAUCCGGAUUUAUUGGGUUUAAAGGGUGCGUAGGAGGAUUUUUAAGUCAGCGGUAAAAUGUCCGGGCUCAACCCGGGCCGGCCGUUGAAACGCG
rnacentral:rRNA from 1 species